GGCAAACUGACGUUUGUCACGUCAGUUACAAAACGUCACACAAAUGUCAUGGAAGCAUAUCGUUAUGCUCCAUGUUUACAGAAUGAUCGAAGUGCUAAAAGUAUGGUUAAAUAAAUCAGUUCAAUUAUCGUGAAAAUCGGCCGAAUUUCCAACGAAAAUCAAGGACAAAAACAGUGGUGGUAUUUUGCUGCCAGGAUGCAAUCUUUCUGCGAAAGAUUGACCUGCAGUAACCACCAAAUCUUCCCGGGAUCAACCAUGAAGCCAUUUUGACUUGCAAGAUGCACUACAGAGAAAUGACUAAUUAUAACGACGGGACAUCUCCCCACAUCUUCACCGUCAGUGUUCGGAUCAAGGGCAGUAUAGUUAACCUCUUCAUCGUCUCCGGAACGGCCAGUUGGACUAUAGAUGCCCGCGAUAAAUGGAAAAAAGAUAUUGCUGCUGCUAUUAAUCCAAGGCCAUAAGGUAAAACGCAGAACCUGUCCCAUCAAACUCAAAGAAAAGUCGGAAUACAUCCGUAACCUCUGACGAAUGACUGGGACUUAGGCUUUCUGCUAAACCCGUAUGCGCGUUGGAAUAAUGUAACAAAAAACUGCAAGAGAAAUGAAAGAAUUAA